GAUGAACGCUGGCGGCGUGCCUAAUACAUGCAAGUCGAGCGGACAGACGAGGAGCUUGCUCCUCUGACGUUAGCGGCGGACGGGUGAGUAACACGUGGAUAACCUACCUAUAAGACUGGGAUAACUUCGGGAAACCGGAGCUAAUACCGGAUAAUAUAUUGAACCGCAUGGUUCAAUAGUGAAAGACGGUUUUGCUGUCACUUAUAGAUGGAUCCGCGCCGCAUUAGCUAGUUGGUAAGGUAACGGCUUACCAAGGCAACGAUGCGUAGCCGACCUGAGAGGGUGAUCGGCCACACUGGAACUGAGACACGGUCCAGACUCCUACGGGAGGCAGCAGUAGGGAAUCUUCCGCAAUGGGCGAAAGCCUGACGGAGCAACGCCGCGUGAGUGAUGAAGGUCUUCGGAUCGUAAAACUCUGUUAUUAGGGAAGAACAAAUGUGUAAGUAACUAUGCACGUCUUGACGGUACCUAAUCAGAAAGCCACGGCUAACUACGCG
rnacentral:rRNA from 1 species